rnacentral:lncRNA from 1 species
GGAUUGAAGUUGACGAACUUGAUUGGUCAAAGACUUGUUGGAUGUGUGCGAUUCCUCGAAUUGUUGCUCCAAAAAUUCAACCUUGUCUUUAUAUGAUUUGAUCGUUAAUUCCGCUUCAUUAAGCUUCUCUUGGAGGUCCGAAUUAUUCUUCAAGAUUGAAUUCCUUUCCUCCUCAAGAGCCUUAUUCAAAGUCUUUGCGUUGUUGUUUUCCUCCUCAAGAUCCAACAAACGACGUCUCAACUUCUUAUUCAACUUAGCCAUCUUCUUUGAUUCAAUGAGAAGUUGAUUGUACGCUUCCGCUAUGUCGUCGUCGUUUGAUUCCUCCUCACUUUCGCCAUUGUUGCUCGAAGAGUCAUGUGAAGAAAGAGAAAUAUUGGAAUUAGUAGCAAUAGAGGAUAAACA